rnacentral:rRNA from 1 species
UACGGGGGGAGCAAGCGUUGUUCGGAUUUACUGGGCGUAAAGGGCGCGUAGGCGGCCAGCGCAAGUCAGUUGUGAAAUCUCCGAGCUUAACUCGGAAAGGUCAACUGAUACUGCGCGGCUAGAGUGCGGAAGGGGCAACUGGAAUUCUUGGUGUAGCGGUGAAAUGCGUAGAUAUCAAGAGGAACACCUGCGGCGAAGGCGGGUUGCUGGGCCGACACUGACGCUGAGGCGCGAAAGCCAGGGGAGCGAACAGG